rnacentral:rRNA from 1 species
AUGAAUCAAUGUCUUGUGGCAUCUGAUCCUUUGAAGAACACUGCAUUAUCUACUUUUUUUUCACAUGUUCUUGCUUUGAUUCUUCAUGGAGAUGCCGCUGCUCGUGAAGUUGCCUCAAAGGCUGGUCUUGUCAAGGUUGUUUCGAGUCUGCUGUGCAGCUGGGAGUCAGACCCAAGGGAAGGUCAAACAACCAAGGUUCCCAAUUGGGUUACUUCCUGUUUCCUUUCUGUUGAUAGAAUGCUCCAGUUGGAACCCAAGUUGCCAGAUGUUACUGCGCUUGAUGUUCUCAAAAAGGAUAAUUCACCUACACAAACAUCUGUUGUGAUUGAUGACAGCAAGAAGAAGGAUCCUUCCAGUUAA